CGCCGCGGGGCCGCGCGCCCGGCCUGGACCAGAGGCACUUCCGGGAGGGCGGCCCCGCCCACUCUCGCCCGGGCGCGCGCCUGGGACCCGUUUCCGGUUCCGAACGUCCGGAAACUGGCCGGAGGGUCCGGCACCCGCCGGUCCGCAGUUGCGCUCCCUCCCGCCCAGGCGUGCGGCUCCGCCAUUUUGUGCACGUUUCCACCCUCCCUCCGGGCACGUGGUACUGCGGCUCGCCGCCGUGGCCCGAGUCGCGAUGACUGCACGCGGUGUACGGCGUUGCCCUCCCUCGGCUCCCGCCCCUCCCCUCUACCCAGUGGGCGAAAUGUGGGCAAGCUGCCCUUGGCGACGCUCCGCAUCCGGGUUCCCGGGCCGCGACGAGCCUGGCGACGCCCAUUCCGGUGCGGGGGGCUAAAUCGCCCCCGGGCUGUGACACGGAUUGGCGGGUCCCCCACAACCCCAUCUCCCAGGCAGGCCUCUUGUGCUAAAUUACUGGCGCAUUCGGAGGCCGUAUGGACGUUUAAGAUUAGCUGAGACGUCUGGAGAAAUGGAUGAGGAAACCAAUGUAUUGUUAAAAUUAACAUUGUGUGCCUGGAGUUGUGCUUUCGUACUGAAUCCCUAUUGUCCCGGCCGUGGCAAUAGCGGCGGUUGUACUCCUCGUUUUGCAAGAGAAGCUGUAUGGUUCAGCGGUUAGACCCUGGUCACAGCAGUGGCCUGGGUUGGGAUUCAAACCCUCAAGUCUGGGGCACUUUCUAUGAACCAAACCACCAGUGCCAACCAUUCUGGUCAGGUAGUGACUAUAUUAGUGGCCCUAAUGAGGAGACAUUAUUAGAGGAAAUAAGUAUCACCUUACAGCCCCAAACUUUUUUAAAAAAUAUUUUUUAAUGGGAUGAGGAGAGGUACCCUAGUCAAUUAGUGAUGAUCCAAAUUUGCCUAUUGAUGAAAUUUUAGUACAGAGAUAAUGUAUUUGUGCUCUUCUUCAGACUUAAAUCUCCAUGGAUAAUAUGAAAUGUUCGUGCCUUUUUGAAAAUCAACUAUUAAAAAUAACAGUAGUCAUCUCUAGUUAUUGACAGUAAAGAAUCUUGGAAUUAGAGAAUUUUUGGAGGAUUUAGAAUUUUCAAGUUUGACAACUGUGCCCCCAGAGAAGCAGAACAUCUUCAUCUCUCCAGUUUCUUCAUUUUGAAUCCUGAUGUUGUUCAGGAAUCCCUCUUACCCACAACUGGUGUAGCUCAGCGUCCUGAUCUCCAAGAGUGGUCUGGACCGGUCUAAGGGUAAUAUCACCCUCUUGCAAGGGACUGGGAGAAAGAACUAAAUUACAUCAUAAAAAACAGUGCAGAGCUUCCAGUUUGAUGAACCCUUAGAGAUUUGGGGAGAAUGACAUGCUCAGAGAGCAUGGAAGCUCCAUGCCCCUUCCCAGGUAACUUGCCCUAUACAUCUCUCUAUCUGGUUGGUUCCUGAGUUAUAUCCUUUUAUAAUAAACCAGUAAUCUGCUUGUUUUCCUUGCUAUCUAAAAAACACAACAGAGUUGUGGAACGAACUACACAGUCCUUGAGAGGUUUUCUGAGUUCCAUUAAUGUUCCUUUAUAGGUUAUGCAUUUAAGUAAAUGUCAUUGAAGAGGUGAUUUGAACGACGUUGAAAAUCAUCAGUUCCAGGGUGCCUGGGUGGCUCAGUUGGUUAAGCGACUGCCUUCGGCUCAGGUCAUGAUCCUGGAGUCCCGGGAUCGAGUCCCGCAUCAGGCUCCCUGCUCAGCAAGGAGUCUGCUUCUCCCUCUGACCCUCCCCCCUCUCAUGUGCUCUUUCUCUCUCUCAUUCAGUCUCUCAAAUAAAUAAAUAAAAUCUUUAAAAAAAAAAAAGAAAAUCAUCAGUUCCUGCCUGACAGAUUCUCUUCCCCACAAUCCAAACUUGGUGCGUGCACUGCUUUACAAAUGAGAUCUUUUUGAACAAUCUUGACCUCACCACUUCAGGAUAUAAUGCAAAAUGCUGAUCUGGUAACCACCUUCUUUCGCUCAAGGUUGCUAGAAGCUGAAGCUGAGCUGUUAGUGGAAUGGGUCCUGGAAAUUAUCAAGCAAGGGGUUGUUGCACAAACAGGCUGAGGAAAUUUCCAGAACUGAAAUUCAGCUAUGUAGAAGAGGAGCAGCAGGCCUUCCAGUUAUUGUACUUCUGGCAAAGAGAAGUAGACAGAUUGCCCAGUGUAUCUUCUAUUAAAGAGGAUCACACAAGUGUACUUCCCUUACACACUUUGAUUUGGAGAAUUGGUGCCAGUUGGCAAUAGAUCACUCAGCUAGACUGUAGUGCAAAAAGUGAGGGAGGGGGACACAACAAUCAUAAAUGUAAAAACCUGCUUUUAAAAAAAGUACAGGGGUGCCUGACUGGCUCAGUCAGUAGAGCACUUGACUCUUGAUCUCAGGGUUGUGAGUUCAAGCUCCACGUU